UAAUUUUUUUUUAAGAUAUUGAAGAUCCAUGUCCACACUUAAGUUAUGUGUUUAAAAAAAAGAAAAAAAAGUCAUGUGCAAGGUGAAAUGCUUUUGGAUAAACAUAAGCCUAUUUUCUGACCUUUCUUAAUGCAAACUCUUUGCCUUAAAUGGUAGAAUAUUUAGAAAUUUGCACAAAAUACAAAAAAAAAUUAAAACAUUGUUUUGGAGGGUUAAGAAAUAGGUAUAUGAGUAUGUGUGUGUGUGUGUAUAGAUCUAUAUACACAUAUGUAUAUAGGCUGACUUGAUCUAGAACAGUAAAUCCGCCCUGCAAGUUAACCCCCCAUUGCAAUGGUUGCCUUAAGGUGUUUGCUAGUUGUGUACCUAGUGUGGUUUAUCAUUAGCUACACUGCUUCCCACUUGAUGAGAGCAAUGGGAAGCACACUGUGGCCUACCAGCGUCUGAAAACGUGUGCUCGACCUGUAUGUGUGCAGAGGUGGUGUGGGUGUGAGCGUGCAUGGAGGAAAAAAAGCUGCUACUCUCAGUAGGCCAAACGCUCAGGUGAAACAACUGACGAGUGUUACUGUAGGGUUUGUUUUGUUUUGUUUUGUUUUUUCUGUCAAAUUGCUACUUCUAUUGUGGAAGACAAAAGCAUUUCCAUUUCAACAGUUUGUCAGCUUUAUUAAUGUUGGGCAAAAUUGAUGUUAUGAAAAUGAAACAGAUCUAUAGUUUUGGGGCAAAAUUAUAAAAUUAAACAUGUAGGUAACCUAUUUAUAUACUUCUAUAAAGUAUUUUUUGAAGAGAGAUAUGCAAAGAAGCUAUUACCUACAUGAAAUGUAUAUUUAAAGAUUUUUUUUUCAUCCUGGGUGCCAGGAGUAUAAAAAAGAGCGGAUAUAUUUAACCAUAACAUACUGUGAUUCAUCAAACAGCACAAACUUUCAUUUCAUGGAGUUUAUCUGUUGACGUUGAUUUAAACUAUCAUUUGUUUUAUCAUGUGGGAACAUAAGUUAUGUGGUCAUAAGUAUAAGGAUUUUGAACUAAUGUUGAUUCAAGUUGUGUUGUCAUGUUGUAUUGUUUUUUCCAAGUGCUGCCAGUUUUAAAGGGAAGCAUUAUGUUUACAAAUAUGUUUUGAAAUGUUUGCCAAAAUCUUGGUGGUAUCUUAAAUAAAGAUGUUUGUCUCCAGCAUCCAAAAAAAUAAAUAAAUAACUUUGUUGUGUAUCGCUGUAAACCAGAAAAUGUUGGUAUCUAGAAAACCUGAGACAGCAUGUGGAUGAAACUUUCCCUUUGGAGUUCUUCUAAAACAUUAACAGGAAAGAGUAGAUGAUACAGUAAAAGUAUGCUAUCUCAAAAGACUGAAACAAGACCCAGUGCCCUAGAACUCUGUAACGUUACUACAGAAAUUUGAUUUCUAUGUAGCAUGGACCUCCUAGGGAAUUCGAUUUUCUUUUGGCAUUGAGAUCCCUGGUGCUCUUCCUUUUACCUCAGAAUUGGUACAAUCAUUAUUAAGUGUUCACUGAUUUCAAACUUUUAGUUGGAAAAACAAAAUAGGAAAGGACACUUAACUGAGGAUAAAUAUGAUCCUCACAUCAUUAUGGUGGAAUUUCCAGAGGAACUUGUCUAUAGGUACUGGUGUCAUUUCUUGGACAUCGCAGCCUUUUAAUCAUCGCUAGUGUGCUGCUACUUGCUAUGAGUGGUGUUUCUCAAAAGCAAGGUGCUUGCACCACUUGCAUAUCCCAAAUUGGAAUCUCUAGGGAUAGGGCCCACGUAUCUACAUUUUCGUAAGUAAUCCCCAAAGUGACUUUUGCGAGCUAAAGUGUGAAAACCACUAGCUUGGAAGUAACACUAAACCUUUAGGUCUCUAAAUUUCCAUGCCUUGAAGUGAAAUUGAACUACUGGCUUUUUUUUUAAAGCCCAUCCCUUUCAGCAGGUGCAAAUCACUUUCCCCCUCUACAUCAUAUGAGGCACCCUCUCAAUUGUUUCACUGCCAACUCUUAUUUCAGAACUUGUUUACAAACAAGCCAAGCCUUCCAGUUGGUUAGCUGUUAGCCCUUGGAGCUCCUACCCACCUACAUCAGCACAUCUUCUGGUUUACAAAUUGGGUAAUAAUGGAAGCUGGAGAUGCUUUAUGAAAAUCCAGCAUUGCACACCCAUAGACUUGACCACCUACCUAUAAAAAGCCUUAAUUUAGAUGUUCCUUGUGUACACUGGGAAGAUCCUUGCAAAAUGUGUAUCUGUCAGUUGCAAAUAUGAGAGCUGUAAAUCUCUGAAUCUGCUAUUACCUGAGGCUGCAUCUCUUUUGAAAAAUGGGCAUGAGCCUAUUAAAAUAUUUAUAAUCAUUCUUCAUCUCCUACUGCAAGGUUUUUUAGAGUCUCUCAAAUAACUGCUGCAGGAAUGGGUGGCCACUUAGUAUCAGUUACUCUGGUAGAAUUUAUUUAGGUGUUUGUUUUUUGUUUUGUUUUUGAGAGAGAAAUAGUAAGUGUAAAUUAGCAUUGUCAAAAAUGAGUUGUUCUUAAUUGUUCAUCACAUUUCAUUAAAAUAAUCUGAAGCACUCUUGAAGGUUUUUUUUUUUUUUACCAAUACCCAUAAAUUUAACUCCAGAUUGAAUGAACAGCUGGUUUAACAUAAACCAAAAACAAUAUUAACUAGAUGUGGUUUUAUUUUAUGUGAGGAUUUCAUGUCCUACCUUGUUGGUUAUUUUUAGAGGGGUUAAUUUUCAGUACUUAAGUAGUUACAGUACUUGUUCUCACAAAAGUAAUUGGUGUGGUCAGUUGAUAUCAUUGAUCCAUGCAUUGAUUAUCAAAAUCCAGUAUUAAUUUUCCUUCAUUUCCAACCUAUCUUCUAAGCUUUAGAAAGGUUUUCUUUUCCCUUAAAAUAUUUCACCUUAUUCUGUACAGCAAAUGUAUAUUUUCCUGUUUGAAGCAAGAUGUUGAAAGGAGGUUUAGACACAAAUGGUCCAUCAGUUCCAACACUCGGCUUGGUUGCCUUACCCCUUCCAUUAGUGCAUCCUUUGCUUCUGGAACUUGGCUGAAACUCUUCAGCCAAGCUCAUUGUCUUUCUGGGAGUGUGAGUGUGGAGUCACAUAUGUGUGGUUUUUGCCUUUACUACUUUUGAAGUUCUUACAGGUUACGACUUGCCUAAGUGUUACUAAAUCCUUUUCUUGUGUCCUGGAUGGGGAAAAGGUAUAGCCAGCGCUUUGAGAGGGACAUUUUGGGAAAAGAUAUUAACUGACACAACUAAAUGAAGGCAACAGAAGAUGUUAUCAAUGCUCUUUGUAACCUGAAAACUGAAUAAGGCUCUGAGGCUCAUUCAAAAUAUUUUGAAGUGUUUAAAAAUAUGUAUGUAUAUAUAUACAUAUAUAUACAUAUACAUAAAAUAUACGCUGUUUCUCAGCUGUUCCACCCAAACCAUGUUAGGAAGGUAAAAUGUCACGGGGACUUUUCAGUUGUUAACUGAGCUCAGCAGCUAUGGUGGCCCAUGUUGUUCUACAUCAAUUUCAGUUCAAUAAAAAUGUUAACUUUG
ensembl:lncRNA